GGGAUCAAACAGGAUUAGGAUACCCUGGUAGUCCACGCCGUAAACGAUGAGUGCUAAGUUGUUAGGGGGUUUCCCGCCCCUUAGUGCUGCAGCUAACGCAUUAAGCACUCCGCCUGGGGAGUACGACCGCAAGGUUGAAACUCAAAGGAAUUGACGGGGACCCGCACAAGCGGUGGAGCAUGUGGUUUAAUUUGAAGCAACGCGAAGAACCUUACCAAAUCUUGACAUCCUUUGACCGCUCUAGAGAUAGAGUCUUCCCCUUCGGGGGACAAAGUGACAGGUGGUGCAUGGUUGUCGUCAGCUCGUGUCGUGAGAUGUUGGGUUAAGUCCCGCAACGAGCGCAACCCUUAAGCUUAGUUGCCAUCAUUAAGUUGGGCACUCUAAGUUGACUGCCGGUGACAAACCGGAGGAAGGUGGGGAUGACGUCAAAUCAUCAUGCCCCUUAUGAUUUGGGCUACACACGUGCUACAAUGGACAAUACAAAGGGCAGAUAAACCGCGAGGUCAAGCAAAUCCCAUAAAGUUGUUCUCAGUUCGGAUUGUAGUCUGCAACUCGACUACAUGAAGCUGGAAUCGCUAGUAAUCGUAGAUCAGCAUGCUACGGUGAAUACGUUCCCGGGUCUUGUACACACCGCCCGUCACACCACGAGAGUUUGUAACACCAGUAGUACCGUGGUGUAUACGCAAGUAGGAGCAACGUCAGCGUAGAUCGACAAGUCCA
rnacentral:rRNA from 1 species